rnacentral:rRNA from 1 species
GCCCUCCGGUUGAUCCUGCCGGAGGUCAUUGCUAUUGGAGUUCGAUUUAGCCAUGCUAGUUGCACGAGUUCACACUCGUGGCGAAAAGCUCAGUAACACGUGGCCAAACUACCCUACAGAGAACGAUAACCUCGGGAAACUGAGGCUAAUAGUUCAUACGGGAGUCAUGCUUGAAUGCCGACUCCCCGAAACGCUCCGGCGCUGUAGGAUGUGGCUGCGGCCGAUUAGGUAGACGGUGGGGUAACGGCCCACCGUGCCAAUAAUCGGUACGGGUUGUGAGAGCAAGAACCCGGAGACGGAAUCUGAGACAAGAUUCCGGGCCCUACGGGGCGCAGCAGGCGCGAAACCUUUACACUGCACGACAGUGCGAUAGGGGGACACCGAGUGCGAGGGUAUAGAGCCCUCGCUUUUCUGAACCCGUA